GGGAUUAUAGUUAAAAAUAACAUUUGAUUUGCACUCAAAAAGUAUUGAUAAAUCAAUUAUUCUCA
rnacentral:tRNA from 1 species